UAAAUAUACCUUUUUUAAAAGUUUAUUUACACGGGGUGUUAGUGAGCAGAGGAGGGGCAGAGAGAGAGGGAGAGAGAGAAAUCCAAGCAGGCCCCGCACUCUCAGUGCAGAGCCUGACACGGGGCUGGAACCCACGAACUGUGAGAUCAUGACCUGAGCUGAAAUCGAGAGUCCCACCGCUUAACCGACUGAGCCACCCAGGUGCCCCUAAAAUAGAUUUUAAGGGAAAACAACAAAUUUUUGCUGUAUAGUAAUUACUUGUUAUAAUUUGAACGUAAUGUAAUAAGUCUACAAAAAGAACAGAAAUAGAACUGUGAGAGUGGUAAAACAUGGUAGUUUCUUAAACAAAAAAAAAAGCCUCAGAGCCAGUAUUAUCUGCUUAGAAAUAUGGACUGAUACAAUUGAAAUAUGUUGCAAUUAUUAAGUCACUUUGAAGAUGAUAAAUAUACAAGGUUAAAAGUGCCCUAAUUAUUUUAGAUUAAGUGGAGUAAAGAGAAGAGUGGAACCCUUUUUAUUUCAGAACCUGGCCCAUGUCUUGUCUGGGAGCAGUCUCAGCCACUGUGAGAACCAGAAAGGACAGAAUGAGGAGGUUGUCACAACACUUAAAUACUCAGCUUUGGGCAUUCAGCAUCAGGGUCCACCUCCUUUCUGGCUGCUAACUGGUCCAGGGAGCCUAGUCCUGCUUUAACCUCCACUCUGAUGAGCUGGGCAUGUUAAUCCCUCCUGGAUUCUUUUUCUCAGGGACAGACGUUCACUAGCAUAUGUAGGACUUUCAGCUUGAAACAUGGUUGCAGAUUUGUUUGCCUCUCACAGUUAAAAAUAAAUCAUUGUCCA